rnacentral:misc_RNA from 1 species
AACGCACAUUGCGCCCAUUAGUAUUCUAGUGGGCAUGCCUGUUCGAGCGUCAUUUCAACCCUUAAGCCCCUGUUGCUUAGCGUUGGGAGCCUACCCCGGUAGCUCCUCAAAGUUAGUGGCGGAGUCGGUACACACUCUAGACGUAGUAAUUCUCAACCUCGCCUACGAGAUGUGCCGGUCCCCUGCCGUUAAACACACCAAUUUCCAAAGGUUGACCUCGGAUCAGGUAGGAAUACCCGCUGAACUUAA